rnacentral:lncRNA from 1 species
GUGAAACAGCCUCAUUAAGUCUGAUUGGCCUGAUUCAAGCCUGAUCGUCCAGGAUCAUGGGAUCCGCAGCAUUCUGCACCCUCUCUGCUUUUCCUGGUCAACCUUUAAAUAGAACUAAUUAGUUCAAGAUAGUGGUGCUGGGACUAAAAAACACUGUGCCUGGCUCAACUGAUGAAAGAAAGCCAAGGAAGGGAUUGGAGAAUGAAACAGAUAAGAAAAAUGGAGCGGAGUGCUGGAUCUGUAUUACA